rnacentral:misc_RNA from 1 species
AAGUCGUAACAAGGUUUCCGUAGGUGAACCUGCGGAAGGAUCAUUAACACUUUUUUAAUUUUUCUUAACAAUUAAAAAACACAAAACCCCCCUUUUUUUAUAUUUUAUUAUUAAAUAAAUAAUAUAUAAAAAAUUAAUUAAAACAAUUAAAAACACCUUUAUAAAUAAUAUCAUAACGAAUUGACUAAAGAAAAUAUCGUUUUUACAAAAGACUAAAACAAUUGACGUCAAGUCAUCUUUCUUUAACGCAAGUUGAAUCGAGACUUUGUUUUAUAUAAUGUGAAUUCAAUCAAUCAGUUCAUUUGAAAAAAUGAAUUGUAUAAAAAAAGAAUUACAACUCGUUACAAUGGAUAUCUUGGUUCUC